ensembl:lincRNA Gm15245 predicted gene 15245
GUUUCUGUUGUUGAAGUCCAGCUUUAAUCCAUGGUGGUCUGAAAAAAUACAAGGCAUACUUUCCAUUUUCUUGUAUUGGUUAAGGCUUGCUUUGUAACUGACUAUACGGUCAGUCUUGGAGAAGGAUCUAUGAGAUUGUAUAAACAUUUCUCAUGUAAAAGGAGACAAAGUUUCAGAAGUCCUGCUAUGUUCUGUGGACAUGUUGAUGAAUACUCUAUGUACUUGAACAUUAAGCAUUUUAUUGCAAAGUCGGGAGUAAUGCAAACAAUUUUGUAAAGCAAAAUAUAAUGUUUACAUGCUGGAUUGGUGGUUUCCUGAAGAAGGGGUGGUCUCCUGAUGGUCUCAAGAAUUCUAUGAAUGUCAAGAAUGUGGAAGAGUCUGGGACUCUGAUUUGAAGGCAAUUUCACCUGAACUCCAUUCCUCUUUGUGACUGAAAUGGACAUAUGCUUAGCAGUAGAGCUUCAUCUGGUACAGAUGAACCAGAAUCAGCAAGACAGUUUUUGAAGCUCAGUUUGCUGACUACCAACCUACAGUUUCUGAGUUCUGGUUUCCCAAGAGAAGACCGCCGAGCACAAGGUCAGAAGAUCAGAAGACUGGGCUGUGAGAAUUUUCUCUGAUCUUGUUGGCAUCCAUACAAAUAACACCUCUAAUGCUCUUUAUCUUCAUUUUGUCACUGAAAAUUAAAAGGUCAAGAUUGUUCCACAUCAAUAAGCUUGGAUUCCCUAAUUUCCACUGUCAAAAUCAGGAUCACAUUCUUUGAUGGUAACAGAAUUAUAAUCUGUCAGAAUUUAUUAAAUAGGUAUUGCUUAUGGCUUCAUUCCUUUGAUUUAUUGACUACAAUUAUCAUGGAAAUUAAUUUCUACAUAUUAAAAACAUGCAUACCAUUGGAGAAAUGUAUUUAUAGCUGUAUACCACUUUUAUUAUAGAGAAAUAUGUAGAGAUAAGUCAAGAUUCAGAUCUUGAGCUUUAAAAACAGGAGAUGGUUAAUUUUUAUAAACUUAUACAAAAUUCAGAAAAAAUCACAACUGAGACUCACUGAUUUCCAUAUGCAUUUUGAAAUCAUUCACAGCUUCUCUUCAUAGAUACUGAGAUCCUUAGACCAAAUACUAAACAACAUAGAAAUGCUUCCUGCCCCUGUGCUGUUCAAAGGCUAGUGGGACAAAUAAACCUUGAAAUAAUAACUCC